UGGGGAAUAUUGCACAAUGGGCGCAAGCCUGAUGCAGCAACGCCGCGUGAACGAUGAAGGUCUUCGGAACGUAAAGUUCUGUUGCAGGGGAAGAUAAUGACGGUACCCUGUGAGGAAGCCCCGGCUAACUACGUGCCAGCAGCCGCGGUAAUACGUAGGGGGCUAGCGUUAUCCGGAUUUACUGGGCGUAAAGGGUGCGUAGGUGGUCUUUCAAGUCGGUGGUUAAAGGCUACGGCUCAACCGUAGUUAGCCUCCGAAACUGGAAGACUUGAGUGCAGGAGAGGAAAGUGGCAUUCCCAGUGUAGCGGUGAAAUGCGUAGAUAUUGGGAGGCACACCCGUAGCGAAGGCGGCUUUCUGGACUGCAACUGACACUGAGGCACGAAAGCGUGGGUAGCAAACAGG
rnacentral:rRNA from 1 species